GACCGGGAAAAUCUGACAGGACUGAGAAGAUGACAACAGCACAGCGGGGUUUUAGAAGCCCAUCAGAGUGAUUUUCUGAGUUCUUUCACAUAUGCUGUAUGGUCAGCGAAUGGAUGGAUUAUCCAGUCACGGUACAUAAUGAAAGACUUGACUGAGUUAGAAGAAGCUGAGCGACUCUUCAGAGUGAAGAUGUUAUGAUGCAGUUAUGUCAAAGCACUCGUUUCGGCUGGCCAGAUUGGAACAGACCUGAAUGGGAAGAUGGCAGAGCUAAGACUGGCAAUGUCCAAGAAAAAUAUUAACUAAAAAUUAGUGUGUUUUUCACCAACGAGUGAGUUUGGGAAUGUUUUAAAUGUGCCUAGAAGUUUAUAAAUGUAAUACUGAGGGAAAAAAGUGAGCGCUUUGAAAAGGCUUUAAAAAGAAAAUAAAGUCUGAUGUUGAUGUUAAAUGAAGUUAAAGUUUUUACUUGAAAAGUUUGUACUUGUUUGUACUUGUCAAGUCUGUGCUGAAAAAAAUGCAGUAAAGUUUGUAUUUGAAAAGA